GACGGGGGGGGCAAGUGUCCUUCGGAAUUACUGGGCGUAAAGCGCGCGUAGGCGGCUGUCUAAGUCGGGUGUGAAAGCCCCGGGCCCAACCUGGGAACUGCAUUCGAUACUGGACGGCUAGAGUAUGAAAGAGGGAGGUAGAAUUCCACGUGUAGCGGUGAAAUGCGUAGAUAUGUGGAGGAAUACCGGUGGCGAAGGCGGCCUCCUGGUUCAAUACUGACGCUGAGGUGCGAAAGCGUGGGGAGCAAACAGG
rnacentral:rRNA from 1 species